AUGGUGAGCUUAAGCUCAUUCAGCUGAAAGAGUCUGCAGAGCUGAGAGCCAUAGAGUAACCAUUUGUCAAUGGACUGACCAACAUUUUCAGGAGUAAUACCGAUCUUGUCUACGAGGGGACCCGAGCAUAUGAAUUCAAAAAGGUCUGAAACUGAAGAGACAUCCACUGUUUUUGUUGGCAACGCCGAGCAUUUCUUCGUAGCCGAAGGAUGAACCAUUGAAUUGUCCUGAAUCCAAGAGCAACCACACCCUACAACACGUACAAACUCAAAAAAUAUUAAGAAUAUAUAUAAUCUACCAUAUCAAACCUCAAAAUUAGGGAGGAGGAUGCGUUUUUUUACCAGACAUUGAUAAACGGCCUUGCUUUUUGGAGGAGGAUGAAGAAUCCGUAAUGACAUGGUCGUCGUUCAAUAUGGAUGAAGAAAAACGUCUUUUGAAAUUAAAAGAAUUGCAAAUAGGAUGGAAAGCGUGACAUGGAAACGGAUAACCUUUGACAUGAUGAAACCUAUUAUUAUAAUGGUGAAGAGUCGCUUGCCAUGGCGACCAUAUCAAACUUGAUGAAGUUGCCCCCGCCAUUCUCUCUCUACCUCGAAGCAGAGCGACACAUCAGCAAGCAACGAAGGAGAAGAAGUAAAUUGAUCAUUUUUUUUUAUUAUUAUUUUCCAUAAAAAAGAAAUGUGUGAGUCAUAUUCUUCCGUCGGAUAACGUGUGAUUAAUGCACUUGUCUUGUCUGUCUCUCUCUGUCAAAAAUGUCAAAUACUGUUUUUAUACUUUGGAUUUUAUACUAAUGUCAAUACUGACUUUUAAGAAAAAGGAACUUAUUUUUUCUAAUGUCUUCGGUGGAUUAAUUAAUCAAUUAAUUUAUACUAAAGCAUGAAGAAUACUAUCCCGUAGCAGAAACUGCCUGAUGAGCCAAAAAAAUUGUACAUCCGAUCCGACUUUUACAAUUUUAAAAAUUAAACUCUCGUGUAAUACGGACCAGAACCAAAACAAGUCUACACUACCUGUUACUCUUUUUGGUAUAAAUGUGAGACCUUGGAAAAAUUACUAACUCUUUUUAUUUGAGAGCGAGAGAGCAAAUGAAUGAGGCCGAACCGGAUUACCGGACCAUCACAAAUGUUACAGACAGACGUUGACGUACGUGUUAUAUCGGUUAGGAGAUGAACCGAGUCUCUUUUUCAGAAUAGCCUCUCAGGUACCUUUGGAGAUGUGAACACCGCCACGCAUUUGAACUGUAAAAAUGUUGUUCCAAGUAGCCAAAAAAAAUAUAGCUGUUAGAUUACGCGGCAAAUUUAACCGAAACGGUUUUUAAAAAACCAAACUGAGAUUUUAACUUAUUUUUUCUUACCUUGUCUUGCCUGUACUUGAUGCGUAUGGAGUUUAAGGGACAUCCUUUGGUGUUAAGCUGCAGCUCUUGCAAGGCCUGAACACAUGCUUUGAGGUCCGAGGCUUUGUACGUUGUGUAAUGCUCAAGUGUUAGGUUCUGGACAUAAAACAGAUAAUAAAAGUCGUGUGAGAUUAAAGAUUUCGUGGAACAGAACAUAAGGCUUUUAUUAACGAACAAGAACAGAACAGACCCAAGGGUGGCUUGAUUGGUUCAUUGUCCACUUGGCUAGAAAAACAGCCGAUGCAGCUAUAACCGAAGGUAGGUACUUCAAGAACUGACACUCUAUUAACGUCAAUUCCGUCAGAUAAUUCGCCAGAAACUCCAUUUCCACACUUGGCAUCAUCUGCAUAUCAAUAUUUCAAAAAAAAAGGAUUCAAUCUUUCUGGUAAGCACAGAUAGAUUUUGUAUAAAGAAGGAAGCAAAAUUACCAGGUGAGAAGGUUGAGCUGCUCGGAGAAAUCUCCUGCCAAAAAAAAAAAAAAAAAAAAAAUUUGAAUACAUGAGUUUUUUGUUUGUUAAUUAGAUUAUAAAAUACCUGAAGACGCCACCGGUAUACAUAACUUGGAUCCUUGAUUUUGAUGAUGACCCAAGCAUUGAUGUACUUGUCCCAUGCGUCAUAAUACGCUUCAAGGUUCUUAUUCACUGUCUCCAGCUACAGAAAGAGAAGAGAGUUUUUUUAUAAUAGGAUAUAUAUACAUUUUGUAUUACUAACAAUAAUCAGUGGUAUUAAAGGGAGUUGAGAUAACCUGUGGAUCAACUGAUUUAACGACUUCAGAAGGAAGAGGUUUGAAACCAAGCAUCCAUCCCUCAAAGAGAAUAACCUGGAGAAAUCUACCAAACAUAAUUUAGUGUUGGUCAUGUUUCAUUUUCAACUUUGAACCGAAACAUUUUGAGAUACAAAUACCUUUAGAGGUCCUUCAACUUCAGGCCAUGUUUCUGCAUCGGCUCUGUCACCCCUCCCGCUAUAAGCAGACUGCAGCCAAACAGGAAUACCUCAACAAGUUAAGACCUGGCUCCUCUGUUUUCAUUCUGUGUGUUAAUGUUACAAAGUGAUAAAAUCAAGCGGUGAUUCAUCACCUUAUCGUACCGAGGAACUUUCAUCUUCAUGUCUGUCAAUGACCAAAAAAACUCACAAGUCAAAAUAAAGAUUAAUAACAGACAAGAGUAUACACAUGUAUUGAUGGAAACUAACCGUCCUUGGUCAGUUGAGACAGGGCUUCUAUUGUUUCGACAGAGAAUGGAAGAUCAUGGCUUCCUGCAUUCCCACGAUACUGAAAACAUAUAUAUAUGAAACAAAUGACGAUAUUUUCAAACUGAUGAAGAAAAGACAAAACGUUGAGAAAAUUGAAGAUGAGCUUUAGGACCUCUAGAAGUGCAUUUCCUGGAUUAUCUUCUCUCAACUGAGCCUGAGACAAUAAAAUUAAUAAAUAAAUAAAUAAAGAUUAAUAACAGACAAGAGAGAGUACAAGUAAAGUCUUACCUGGCCUUGUGCAGUCAAGUAAAAAUCGUCUAUAGAUAUUGUCGCCGACUUCCUGAGAUAUAUUGCUUUGAGUUAGUACUAAGAAUCAUCACUAGGAAUUUAGAUUAAGUAAACUGCUGUAGCAAUGGGGGCAAUGGUACUUUUUUGUAGUUUUGAAAAGAUAAUCAAGUGCAAACACAAGUGUAGUCUUGCCACAUCCUUGAGGUGCGCUAAAUCCAAUCUGCAUCACAUAUCUUGAUCAUCUCCAUUUAUUAAUUUAGAGUCAAUAACCAAAGAGAGACAAUUUAUUAGUAGCGUACCACUAGUGGAGGCACAUCAUCUCCAUCUUUAAACUUGGAAUUAUGCAAGGCAAUCUGAUCUUCGCACCAAACAAAGACGGGUAUAUAGUAAUGGUAAAGCCUAGCUUUCUGAGGAAUGGUGAGCUUAAGCUCAUUCAGCUGAAAGAGUCUGCAGAGCUGAGAGCCAUAGAGUAACCAUUUGUCAAUGGCCUGACCAACAUUUUCAGGAGUAAUACCGAUCUUGUCUACGAGGGGACCCGAGCAUAUGAAUUCAAAAAGGUCUGAAACUGAAGAGACAUCCACUGUUUUUGUUGGCAACGCCGAGCAUUUCUUCGUAGCCGAAGCAUGAACCAUUGAAUUGUCCUGAAUCCAAGAGCAACCACACC
rnacentral:lncRNA from 1 species